rnacentral:rRNA from 1 species
GACGAACGCUGGCGGCGUGCUUAACACAUGCAAGUCGAACGGAAAGGCCCUGCUUUUGUGGGGUGCCCGAGUGGCGAACGGGUGAGUAACACGUGAGUAACCUGCCCUUGACUUUGGGAUAACUUCAGGAAACUGGGGCUAAUACCGGAUAGGAGCUCCUGCUGCAUGGUGGGGGUUGGAAAGUUUCGGCGGUUGGGGAUGGACUCGCGGCUUAUCAGCUUGUUGGUUGGGUAGUGGCUUACCAAGGCUUUGACGGGUAGCCGGCCUGAGAGGGUGACCGGCCACAUUGGGACUGAGAGACGGCCCAGACUCCUACGGGAGGCAGCAGUGGGGAAUAUUGCACAAUGGGCGGAAGCCAGAUGCAGCAACGCCGCGUGCGGGAUGACGGCCUUCGGGUUGUAAACCGCUUUCGCCUGUGACGAAGCGUGAGUGACGGUAAUGGGUAAAGAAGCACCGGCUAAAUACGUG